rnacentral:rRNA from 1 species
GGUGAGUAACACGUGGAUAACCUACCUAUAAGACUGGGAUAACUUCGGGAAACCGGAGCUAAUACCGGAUAAUAUUUUGAACCGCAUGGUUCAAAAGUGAAAGACGGUCUUGCUGUCACUUAUAGAUGGAUCCGCGCUGCAUUAGCUAGUUGGUAAGGUAACGGCUUACCAGGGCAACGAUGCAUAGCCGACCUGAGAGGGUGAUCGGCCACAUUGGGACUGAGACACGGCCCAA